rnacentral:rRNA from 1 species
UAAUUUAAAUCUUAUUAUGUAAAGUUAGAAAAAGUUUUUAUUUAAUAAAAUCAUUUUUAUUAAAAAGAGUUUGUGUAUAGGAUAUAGAUAAAAUUAUUUGUAUGGUAGAUAAAUUGUAUUGUGAAAGGUUGAUUGAAAUAUUUUGAAAAAUUAAUUUUAAUAAAGUAGAUUUAAUUUAUUGUACCUUGUGUAUCAGGGUUUAUCAAAAAAUUUAUAAAAAUUUAUAUUUCCCGAUUUAAAGAGAGCUAAUUAAUUAUGUUAGUUAAUGUGGAAUAAUUAUUAAUAAUAAUUAAUUAGAAAUGAAACGUUAUCCGUUCUUUAAGAUAUCUGGUUUUCUAAGAAAUGAAUUUAAUUCAGAUAUUAGAUUUUAAGUAUUUAUUUAAAGGAAGUAGUUAUAAUUUAAUAUUAAUAUUUUGGGGGAUAAGCUUCAAAGUAUUAUUUAUAAAAAUAAUUUUUAAUAAAGAUGUUGUAGGCUUAGAAUUAGCUAUCAAAAUAAGGAUGUUAUAAUUUAGUCUUAUAUUAAUAAAAUUUUCUUAAUAUUUAAAUAAUUCAUUAGAAUGUUAUUUUUAAUUUUAAAAAAUUAGUAAUAAUGAUAAAAUUAGUAUAAAAAUUGUUUAUUAUUUAAAUUAAUGGAAGGUUACAUUAAGGAAUUAGGCAAAUAAAUGCUCGCCUGUUUAACAAAAACAUGUCCUCUCGAAUAUAAUUUGAGGUCUGACCUGCCCACUGAAUUUUAAAUUUGAAGGGCCGCGGUAUUUUGACCGUGCAAAGGUAGCAUAAUCAUUAGUCUUUUAAUUGAAGGCUAGAAUGAAUGGUUGGACGAGGUAUUGACUGUCUCAGUGUAAAUGAAUAUAGAAUUUAACUUUUAAGUCAAAAGGCUUAAAUAAUUUUAAAGGACGAGAAGACCCUAUAGAGCUUUAUAUUAAUAAUUUUAUUAUUUAUUUAGAAGUUUUUUUAUAUUAAUUUUGUUAAUAUUUUGUUGGGGUGACAGGAAGAUAAAUAAAACUCUUUUUAGUUUAAUUACAUUGAUUUAUGAAUUGUUGAUCCAUUUUUAGUGAUUAUAAGACUAAGUUACCUUAGGGAUAACAGCGUAAUCUUUUUCGAGAGUUCUUAUCGACAAAAAGGGUUGCGACCUCGAUGUUGGAUUAAGGGUAAUUUUGGGUGUAGAUGUUCAAAGUUUAGGUCUGUUCGACCUUUAAAUCCUUACAUGAUCUGAGUUCAGACCGGUGUAAGCCAGGUCGGUUUCUAUCCUUAAUAAAAAAUGAUAUUUUAGUACGAAAGGACCAAGUAUUGGAAAGAUGUUUCUUAAUUGUUGAUUAAUAAUAACAUU